UUCAAGAUACAGCAAUGGGACAUAGGCAGACAUGAUUUCCUUGAGUCUGCUCCUGGAUUAGGAAUGUUUGUGACUGUUACAACUUACAAUGAUGAGGUAUUAUUGUCAAAGUUAUAUGGCCCACAAGGAACAUUCUAUUUUACUUCACAUUCACCUGGUGAACACUUCAUUUGCUUAGAAUCUAAUUCUACAAGGCUUGUGUCAUUUGGAGGGAGUAAGCUGCGGAUCCAUUUAGAUAUUCGAGUUGGAGAACAUGACCUUGAUAUAGCUAUUGCUCAAGCAAAGGACAAAGUUAAUGAAGUUACCUUCAAGCUUGAACAUCUAAUUGAACAAAUUGAGCAAAUAGUCAAAGAACAAAACUAUCAAAGGGUCCGUGAAGAAAAUUUUCGAAUGACCAGUGAAGAUACAAAUAGCAAUGUUUUAUGGUGGGCUUUUGCACAAACAUUAAUCUUUAUUUCAGUUGGAGUUUUCCAAAUGAAGUACCUUAAAGACUUCUUUAUAGCUAAGAAGCUUGUUUAAAAAAUUAUCAAUAAAGACAAAUAAUUAGCAUGAUAUAAAUCAAAAUACCUGCA